GCGAUUCGACAUGGUCUGAUUAUUGGUUGUCUUGUUGUUUUAUUGGGUUAAGGUUAUUGUUUAUUGAAGUAUCAUUUUUGUUGGUGUAUUUUUUUGAUUUAAUUGUAUUUACGAUAGUUUACUUGUACCGUAGGGGUUAUAUUGUUUUAAUGUUAUUUUAGAAGCUGAUUUUGUUUGUUGUACCUUGUGUAUCAGGGUUCAUUAAAUUUUAUUAUUUAUUUUUUAUUUCCCGAUUUUGGAGGAGUUAAUGGUUUGUGUUAUUUACUGUUUCAUUAGUAUUAAUAAUCAUUCGUUGGUAGUGAAAUUUUAUUCGUCUUUAAAGGUUUCUGGUUUUUCAAGAAAUGAAUUCAAUUCAUACAUAUGGUUUAAAUUUUUGUUUUGGGUUAUGUUUAUUUUACUUUAUGUUAAGAUUAAGGGGGAUUAGCUCCUUAUUUUAUUGUUAUAAUUUUGGUUCUUAUUUAUUUUUGUGGAUUUUAUAUUGAUUUUCAAUUUGAUUAUGUUAAAAUUUUAUUAGUUUUUCUGUUUAUUUUUAUUUGUGGUUUAAUUUUUAUAUUGAAAUGUUCUCAUUUCUUUGGUUUGAGUGUUAAUUAUUGUGUAAUUAGUAAAAGUUUUUUGUGUUGUUAUUUUAUUGUUAAUUUCUUUCUAGGAAUUCGGCAAAUUUCAUGUCCGCCUGUUUAACAAAAACAUCUCUUCUUGUUAGUUUAUGAAGUAUGGCCUGCCCGCUGACUUGGUAGUUGAAGGGCCGCGGUAUUUUGACCGUGCAAAGGUAGCAUAAUCAUUAGUUCUUUAAUUGUGAUCUGGUAUGAAUGGCUUGACGAGACAUGAGCUGUCUUGAGUAAUGAAUUGUUUAUUGAAUUUGGGGUUUGGGUUAAAAUUCUUAAAUGUUUUUGUGGGACGAGAAGACCCUAUAGAGUUUUACAUUGUCUAUAUUGAUGUGUUGUUUGUGUUUAAUUAUUCACUAGUUGCUAGUGUUUUGUUGGGGUGAUGGGAGAAUUUAUUUAACUUCUCUUAAUUUUUGUUAUAUUUAUUUAUGUUGUUUUGAUCCAUUUAUUUUGAUUGUAAGAUAAAAUUACCUUAGGGAUAACAGCGUUAUCUUCCUUGAGAGUUCUUAUUGGCGGGAAGGUUUGCGACCUCGAUGUUGGAUUAAGGUUAAUUUUCGGUGUAGAAGCUGGAUAUGAUUGGGUCUGUUCGACCUUUAAAAUCUUACAUGAUCUGAGUUCAGACCGGCGUGAGCCAGGUUGGUUUCUAUCUAUAAUAUUUUUUUAUACCUUAGUACGAGAGGACCGGGUAUUUUGAAUAAUUUUAUUUAUUUUGAGUUUUAUUAAAGUGUGGACUAUUUUGGCAGAUAAGUGCCUUGGAUUUAGAAUCUAAAAA
rnacentral:rRNA from 1 species